rnacentral:misc_RNA from 1 species
CAGAGUUCUCGCCCUCGCGGGUAGAUCUCCCACCCACUGUUAUUGCUACCGUGUUGCUUUGGCGGGCUGCUGGGCCUAGCCCGGCCGCCGGCUCCGGCUGGCGCGCCCGCCAGAGGCUCCAUAGACUCUGAAUAUUAGUGUCGUCUGAGUACUAUAUAAUCGUUA